AGAGUUUGAUCCUGGCUCAGGACGAACGCUGGCGGCACGCUUAACACAUGCAAGUCGAACGAGAGAAGAGGAGCUUGCUUUUCUGAUCUAGUGGCGGACGGGUGAGUAACACGUGAGCAAUCUGCCUUUCAGAGGGGGAUACCGAUUGGAAACGAUCGUUAAUACCGCAUAACAUAAUUGAACCGCAUGAUUUGAUUAUCAAAGAUUUAUCGCUGAAAGAUGAGCUCGCGUCUGAUUAGCUAGUUGGUAAGGUAACGGCUUACCAAGGCGACGAUCAGUAGCCGGACUGAGAGGUUGAUCGGCACAUUGGGACUGAGACACGGCCCAGACUCCUACGGGAGGCAGCAGUGGGGAAUAUUGCACAAUGGAGGAAACUCUGAUGCAGCGAUGCCGCGUGAGGGAAGAAGGUUUUAGGAUUGUAAACCUCUGUCUUCAGGGACGAAAAAAGACGGUACCUGAGGAGGAAGCUCCGGCUAACUACGUGCCAGCAGCCGCGGUAAUACGUAGGGAGCGAGCGUUGUCCGGAAUUACUGGGUGUAAAGGGAGCGUAGGCGGGAUCGCAAGUCAGAUGUGAAAACUAUGGGCUUAACCCAUAAACUGCAUUUGAAACUGUGGUUCUUGAGUGAAGUAGAGGUAAGCGGAAUUCCUAGUGUAGCGGUGAAAUGCGUAGAUAUUAGGAGGAACAUCAGUGGCGAAGGCGGCUUACUGGGCUUUAACUGACGCUGAGGCUCGAAAGCGUGGGGAGCAAACAGGAUUAGAUACCCUGGUAGUCCACGCCGUAAACGAUGAUUACUAGGUGUGGGGGGACUGACCCCUUCCGUGCCGCAGCAAACGCAAUAAGUAAUCCACCUGGGGAGUACGACCGCAAGGUUGAAACUCAAAGGAAUUGACGGGGGCCCGCACAAGCAGUGGAGUAUGUGGAUUAAUUCGAAGCAACGCGAAGAACCUUACCAGGUCUUGACAUCGUAUGCAUAGCUCAGAGAUGAGUGAAAUCUCUUCGGAGACAUAUAGACAGGUGGUGCAUGGUUGUCGUCAGCUCGUGUCGUGAGAUGUUGGGUUAAGUCCCGCAACGAGCGCAACCCUUACUGUUAGUUGCUACGCAAGAGCACUCUAGCAGGACUGCCGUUGACAAAACGGAGGAAGGUGGGGAUGACGUCAAAUCAUCAUGCCCCUUAUGACCUGGGCCUCACACGUACUACAAUGGCUGUCAACAGAGGGAAGCAAAGCCGCGAGGUGGAGCGAACCCCUAAAAGCAGUCUUAGUUCGGAUUGUAGGCUGCAACCCGCCUACAUGAAGUCGGAAUUGCUAGUAAUCGCAGAUCAGCAUGCUGCGGUGAAUACGUUCCCGGGCCUUGUACACACCGCCCGUCACGCCAUGGGAGUCGGUAACACCCGAAGCCUGUAGUCUAACCGCAAGGAGGACGCAGUCGAAGGUGGGAUUGAUGACUGGGGUGAAGUCGGAACAAGGUA
rnacentral:rRNA from 1 species